UACGAAGGGGGCUAGCGUUGUUCGGAAUUACUGGGCGUAAAGGGCGCGUAGGCGGCGUGUCAAGUCAGGCGUGAAAGCCCCGGGCUCAACCUGGGAACCGCGCUUGAGACUGGCAUGCUCGAGUUCGGGAGAGGAUGGUGGAAUUCCCAGUGUAGAGGUGAAAUUCGUAGAUAUUGGGAAGAACACCGAUGGCGAAGGCAGCCAUCUGGACCGACACUGACGCUGAGGCGCGAAAGCAUGGGGAGCGAACAGG
rnacentral:rRNA from 1 species